rnacentral:misc_RNA from 1 species
GGCAGUAAAAGUCGUAACAAGGUUUCCGUAGGUGAACCUGCGGAAGGAUCAUUAUUGUAUAACCGAGGUGCGAGGGCUGUCGCUGACCCGAAAGGUCGUGCACGCCCGAGUGCCCUCACACACAUCCAUCUCACCCCUAUGUGCACCACCGCGUGGGUCCCCCUUUGGCUUGUUCGGAGGGGGGCUUACGUUUUCACACAAACUUUGUAUGCAGUGUAGAAUGUAUUUUUUGUUUUUGCGAUCACGCAAUCAAUACAACUUUCAACAACGGAUCUCUUGGCUCUC